UGUGGAUCACUUUGUGGCAGGGAUUAUCCUGCAUGGGGAUAAGGUGGCUGGCGAUGCGCAAGAACACCUUUUCAAAGAGCAGUCUGGAGCAGCACAGUUGCUGGAUUGGAAUUUGCAACGUGGGAAACUACCACUGGAUACUCUUGGAUGUCAAUUGCAGGACCCACUCUGCCAUUGUCCUGGACCCUACUGGUUCCCCUAACGCGGAGAGCCAUAUGUGUGAGAACCUGGUGAAGCACAUCCGGUAUGGUCAAUGUAGUUUUUUGGGGUAUCUGUACUUUACUGUUUAUUUUGUUUUUACCAGUUUUACUUUACUACAUUCCUAAAGAUAUACGUUAUUUUUACUCCAUACAUUUUCCCUGACACCGAAAGUACUUGUUACAUUUUGAAUGCCUAGAGGACAGAAAAAUGAGUCUCCUCUUCACUGUUGAUGUUGAGACUGGUGUUUUGUGGGUACUAUUUAAUGAAGCUGCCAGUUGAGGACUUGUGAGGCGUCUUUCUCAAACUAGACACACUAAUGUACUUGUCCUCUUGCUCAGUUGUGUACCGGGGCCCCCCACUCUUUCUAUUCUGGUUAGAGGCAG